CCAAAAACAUAAUGUUUUGGUCCCAAACCUGCUGYUAUUUUUUACUAAACUUACACAUGCAAGCAUCCACAAACCAGUGAGAAUGCCCACUAAUCAGACAGACAAACGGAGCUGGUAUCAGGCACACUUUCUUAGCCAAUGACACCUUGCUUCGCCACACCCUCACGGGUCUACAGCAGUGAUCGAUAUUAAAUAUAAGCGAAAGCUUGAUUUAGUUAUAGUAAGACAAGGAGUCGGUAAAUUUCGUGCCAGCCACCGCGGUUAUACGAAAGACCCCWAAUAACAGCCCCCGGCGUAAAG
rnacentral:rRNA from 1 species